CAGCAGUAGCCGCGGUAAUACGAAGGGUGCAAGCGUUAAUCGGAAUUACUGGGCGUAAAGCGUGCGUAGGCGGUGAGUUAAGUCUGCUGUGAAAUCCCCGGGCUCAACCUGGGAAUGGCAGUGGAUACUGGCUCGCUAGAGUGUGUCAGAGGAUGGUGGAAUUCCCGGUGUAGCGGUGAAAUGCGUAGAGAUCGGGAGGAACAUCAGUGGCGAAGGCGGCCAUCUGGGACAACACUGACGCUGAGGCACGAAAGCGUGGGGAGCAAACAGGAUUAGAUACCCCGGUAGUCCCUGUCUCUUAUAC
rnacentral:rRNA from 1 species